GGCGAGGUAGCUCAGUUGGUAAGAGCGUCGGAUUCAUAACCCGGAGGUCGAGGGUUCAACUCCCUCUCUCGCUA
rnacentral:tRNA from 2 species